ACCUUUUUGGAAUCUUUGAGAUCAGAUAAAUAAAGUGGUGUAGUUUUAAAUAUGAUUGGAGCAUUUUUAAAAUUUGACCCCUGUGUGG